UUUCCGUAGGUGAACCUGCGGAAGGAUCAUUAUUGUAUAACCGAGGUGCGAGGGCUGUCGCUGACCCGAAAGGUCGUGCACGCCCGAGUGCCCUCACACACAUCCAUCUCACCCCUAUGUGCACCACCGCGUGGGUCCCCCUUUGGCUUGUUCGGAGGGGGGCUUACGUUUUCACACAAACUUUGUAUGCAGUAUAGAAUGUAUUUUUUGUUUUUGCGAUCACGCAAUCAAUACAACUUUCAACAACGGAUCUCUUGGCUCUCGCAUUGAUGAAGAACGCAGC
rnacentral:misc_RNA from 1 species